ACUGAACAUCAGACAGAAUUCCGGGGAAGAGAUCUCCUCUCCCUCCACGGUUCUGACCUUGCUGAUCUUGCUGCAAAAUUCUACUUGGAGGAGGGGCAGUCAUUUUUAUUCCUAGCACAAAUACCACCAACCAAGUCAUUUCUUCUAGUCAUUUUGGGGAAAGAAUUCAGACAACACUUCUACAAAUAUUUAUUAACCAUUUAUGGUGUUGUUCCAAGCGCUGCACUUGACCCAAAAGAUGAAUAGAUACAACUCUACUCCCGCACUGUGGGAAGUCAGGUUAUGCUGAAAGAGAGAGAGAGAGCAACUGGGGUGAGGCAGGAGCCACGGGUCCAGCAGUAGGAGAGCAUCAGAUGGCUUCCCAGAGAGGGACUGCUUCAUGGAGCCUGGGAGGAGCACUCAGUUGAACUGAAGCUACAGGGAAGAUCAGCAAGGAAGAGAAGGGGCUGGACUCGUCAUUGGGAUUCUCCUUCAGGACUCUCCCCUUUCCCCACCCCACCUUCACCUCUUGUCCUGGUGACUGUACCUGUUCCUAACCCACAGAGAGCCAUCAUGAUACAGGAGUGAUCUCUGGCCCAGCUGGCCAGGAAGGCACUUUGAGACCAUCAGACACACCAAAGCAAAAGAGCACAAGACCUGAAGUAUAGAGACAAGAGUUCACCAGCCAGCCCAGCAUGCUGCUUCAUCAGCACAGCCUCUUUCCACCAAACCCAGAGCCAAGUGUGCUUCCAGCAUAGGUUCUACAGUAAAACCCACACUCCAG
rnacentral:lncRNA from 1 species